rnacentral:rRNA from 1 species
UACAGAGGGUGCGAGCGUUUAAUCGGAAUUACUGGGCGUAAAGCGUGCGUAGACGGUUAUUUAAGUCGGAUGUGAAAGCCCCGGGCUCAACCUGGGAAUUGCAUUCGAGACUGAAUAGCUAGGGUACGGUAGAGGGAAGUGGAAUUUCCGGUGUAGCGGUGAAAUGCGUAGAUAUCGGAAGGAACAUCAGUGGCGAAAGCGACUUCCUGGACCAGUACCGACGUUCAGGCACGAAAGCGUGGGGAGCAAACAGG